GGGUUGGUCGUCUAAUCGGAGGAUACUGCGCUUGCACCGCAGAGAUCGGGGUGCAACUCCCCGCCGAUCCACCA
rnacentral:tRNA from 1 species